rnacentral:rRNA from 1 species
GACGGGUGGAGUAACGCGUGGGUAACCUGCCUCAUACAGGGGGAGUAACAGUUGGAAACGACUGCUAAUACCGCAUAAGCGCACAGGAUUGCAUGAUCCGGUGUGAAAAACUCCGGUGGUAUGAGAUGGACCCGCGUCUGAUUAGCCAGUUGGCAGGGUAACGGCCUACCAAGGCGACGAUCAAUAGCCGACCUGAGAGGGUGACCGGCCACAUUGGGACUGAGACACGGCCCAAACUCCUACGGGAGGCAGCAUG